AGCGAACGCUGGCGGCAGGCCUAACACAUGCAAGUCGAGGGGAGCGGCCGACGGGUGCGUAACGAGAGGGAACGUACCUUUUGGUUCGGAACAACACAGGGAAACUUGUGCUAAUACCGGAUAUCGAAAGAUCGGCCGGCGUCGGAUUAGAAAGUUGGUAGGGUAAUGGCCUACCAAGGCGACGAUCAGGAGCUGGUCUGAGAGGAUGAUCAGCCACAUUGGGACUGGGACACGGCACAAACUCCUCCGGGAGGCAGCAGUGGGGAAUAGUGGACAAUGGGGGCAAUCCGGAUGCAGCCAUGCCGCGUGAGUGAUGAAGUCCCCAGGGUUGUAAAGCUCUUUUGUGCGGGCAGCGGUACCGCAAGAAUAAGCCCCGGCUAACUUCGUGCCAGCAGCCGCGGUAAUAC
rnacentral:rRNA from 1 species